AUUCUAAAGUAAAAGACUCAUAUGUAUUUCAUCAGUAUCUUAAGCAUGCACAUUAAUUCUGACAGGCUGAAAAACACAUUCUUCACUCUAUGAGUAAUGCACCAGACAGACUCACGUGAGAUGAAGUCCUGCUGUCUGCGUCUCUCUGUCAUGUGACGGCCCCAGUGCUGGAGGGCGUGGCUCUGAUGGCCCUGCCCCGUUUCUGAAUGAUCUCCGGCCUUAUUGUCCUCAUUCUCAUCCUCCACCCACAGAGGGGGCGGUUCCUGUCGGUCUGGAAUCCUCUGCACCAGCUGAGAACGAGUCUGCAUCUCUGUCCUGAAAUCCUCCAGGCUUCCCAGAAUGCUGUGCGGCAGCACCAUCCCCUGCACGUCAAACCGCGGCCCACCGGGACCUUAGACAUACAGAGAAAGUUUACACUGAACUUCCUGUUCUGACCUGAAGCCACGCCCACUUACCUGCAUAUUCAGAUUGAUGGGGCGGGGCAACAUCUAGUGGGAGGGGCCUCGCUACGGUGACUCUAACCACUCUGCUGACCUCGUCUGGGGGGCGUGUCUUACGGACGUAAACACGGGUCAUCGAGGUAGGCUUCUGGGAAUCGGAAGGAGGUUUAGGGACUCGCAGCUGCAAAGAAAAAAUAACAAGACAUGAUAUGGAAACACCUCCAGCUGUAACACCAGUGUGAAUGAGGGGUAAAACACACACACUCACACACUCUCUCACUCACCCUCUCCAGGUCUUGAGCUGUGAUGGCCAGACUCUGGAUGUCGUGUCCGCUCAGAGUGGGACUGUGGUCUUCUUCACCCACACAUGAGGAUGAUGAUGAGAUCUCCUCACAGCCCCCCAGCAGCUUCUUAUCUGACACACCAGAGGAGAGAAACCACAAACCCACACACCUGUGAAAACUACUAAACCAGGUCUGUCAAAAGAUUUUAAUUAUAUAUUGUGAUUCAUAUCAAGAUAUUGUGACAUUUCAUGUUAUUCAUUUAACAUUUUCAAUUGCUUUUCAAAGAAAGCAUACUUUGAUUUUUGCAAAAACAUGCAUGUGUUUUUAAACAUAACCUAUAAUUUGCAGUGUUCAAUAAUGUUCAAAAGUUAAGAUUUUGUAAUAUUUUGUAAUAUUUUGCUCACCAAGGCUAUUAUAUGAUCAAAUAAACAAAACCGUAAAAAGGUGAAAUAUUAUUACAAUUUAAAAUAACUGUUUUCUUUGUGAAUAUACGUUAAAAUGUAAUUUAUUGCUGUGAUCAAAGCUGAAUUUUCAGCAUCAUUACUCCAGUCUUCAGUGUCACAUGAUCCUUCAGUAAUCAAGUAUAAAAGAACAGCAUUUAUUUGAAAUAGAAAUAUUUUGUAACAUUAGAAAUGUCUUUACUGGGAUCAAUUUAAUGCAUCUGCUGAAUAAAUAAUAAUAAUAAUAAAAUAAAUAAAUAAAUGUGACCCCAAACUUAUGAACGUAGUGUAAAUAGUGCAAAUUUACUUUCCUAAUCAAACAUAAAAAUAUUCUUAACUCUUAACUUUAUUAGACACAUUUUAACUCACAAAAACCAACUGCUAAAAGGUCAUUACAGUAUGUAGUUUCUGUUAACAAUGUAUAUACAAUCAAGAGUAGAAAAAAAAACAUAUACCCACAAAAGAAGAUAAACACAAGCUCUGCUAGUGUAAAUGUCAGUAAGUGACUAUCAAAGCAACGAGACAAAAACACUGACGUAAAGUGAUGAGGGUAAAUAAUCAUAUCUGACAUAUGAUCAAAUAUGACAGCGGCUUUUAGCUACGGAAACACCUGAAGGCGUAUGGAAACACACAACAGGCCUUUCAUAUGUGCCUUUUAUACUUAGCUCUAGUUUGGGAAACAAUAUUCCCCCAAAGUGGCAGAAAACCAAUUAAAAAUGAAUGCAUUUUAAUGCAAUAUAACAACAAAUCAUUAUAUUAUAUUGGUUUAGGGGUAGGGCACUGGAAAUAUCAUUAGUUCAUUAUAAAACAAUAGAAGUCGAUGGAAAUUCCCACUCUAGAACAAAUGUGUGUUUAGACAGAGAGAGAACAGCAGCGCACACAGAUGAGAGUGAAUACUAAUGAGUCACUAGAAGCAGCUGACCCAGAGUACUCACAGACACACACACACACACACACACACACACAGAGGUGACAUGCUGUUAUAUAAGCCUGCACAUCCUCAGCGUUCUGGAGACGGACGAGCGUUGCCAUAG
rnacentral:lncRNA from 1 species